UACAAGACGACCCGAGUUUAUUAAAGGCUCCGGGCAGCGGCGGCCCCGGCGGUUGGAGCCGGCCCGGACCCGCCGGGGGCCGCCCGCGGGCGGGGCAGUGUCGGGGCUGCGGCGGGGCCCGGGCGGGGCUCCGGGGGGGGGGGGAAGCGGGAGGGCGGGGCGGGCAUUGGGGGGUCCCCGGUGCAUUGGCGGCGGGGGGGGGUGUCCUGGUGAAUGGGGGGGCCCGGUGCAUUAUGGGAGGGGCUGGUGCAUUGGGGGUUCCCCGGUGCAUUGAGGGGGGUCCUUGUGAAUGGGGGGGUUGGUGAAUGGGGGGGCCCGGUGCAUUUCGGGGGGGGGCUACUGAGCGUGGGGGGUUGUUGUGCAUUGGGGGUGGGUCGAGUGAAUGGGGGGAGUGGGGCUGGUGCAUUGGGGAGUCCCCGGUGCAUUGGGGGGUCCUGGUGAAUGGGGGGAUCCCGGUGCACCGCGGGGGGUAGUGAAUGGGGGGGGGCUGGUGCAUUGGGAGGGGUCCCAGUGAAGGGGGGGUUGGAGAAUGGGGGGAUCUCAGUGCAUUGGGGGAGUGAAGGGGGGGCCUUGGUGAAUGGGGGGGGGGAAUGGGGGUGCACUGGGGGGGGCUGGUGAAUAACAGGGGGCUCUUGGUGAAUGGGGGGUCCCAGUUCCUAAAGGGGGUGUCCCAGUGAAAGGGGGGGGCGGACAGGGGCGUCCUGGUGAAUGGGGGUUCCUGGGAUGAUGCACAAGGGUCCGUCCCCCCCCACUUCCCCAUUGCACGAGAAGCCCCAGUCCUUGUGCACGAGGCUGGUGGUGCACAAGGACAUUCCCCCCCCAAUCCUGGUGCACAGUGACCCCCGCCAUGCACAAUGACCCCCCCCAUGCACAAUCACCCACCCCCAUGAACAAUCACCCUCCCAUGCACAAUGACCCCGAGUCCUGGUGCACGGUGACGCUCCCCCCCCCCCAGUCCUGGUGCACGAUGAGGCUGUUGCACGAAGGAGCUGGACGUGCAAGGUGGGGGGGAGGGUGUCCUGUGGCUCCUGGUGCACAAGAUGGGGGGGGGUGUUUGGGGGUGAUGCACGGGGGGGGGAAGCUCCGGUCCUGGUGCACAAGAAGCCGUUGCACGAGGGCCCCCCCCAUCCCGUUGCACGAGGCCACCGUGAUCCUGAUGCACGAGGGUGUCCGCGGGUGUGUGUGUCCCCCUCCCCUGGGGUGUCGCUGCACGAGGAGCCGGUGCACGAGGGCUGGCCUGAUCCCGGUGCACGAGGAGCCAACGCACGAGGCCAGCCCAGUCCCGGUGCACGAGGUCGCCCCCAGUCCCGGUGCACGAGGAGCCGUUGCACGAGGAGCCGUUGCACGAGGAGCCGAUGCACGAGGCCUCCCCGCCCCCCAUUGCACAAGGAACCCGAUGCACGAGGAGCCGUCGCACACGAGGCCGCCUGCUUUGUUCCCAUCGCACGAGGAGCCCUUGCACGAGGCUGCCCCCGGCUCCUGGUGCACGAGGUGCUGGUGCACGAAGGAGCCGUCGCACGAGGCCUCCCGGCUCCCGUUCGCACGAGGAGCCC
ensembl:lncRNA